rnacentral:tRNA from 1 species
UUUUUCGAAAUGGGUAGACGCUACGGACUUAAAAUCCGUUGGCUUUAUUGACCGUGAGGGUUCAAGUCCCUCUACCCCCA